rnacentral:lncRNA from 1 species
GUAAAAUGUGAAGAGUGGAACUGGGACCUGCUUUACAGGACUGAAUGCACAGAACAGGGCAUCCAAGUGAGCGAUGUACGCGGAGACGUCUAGAAGCCUGGACCCCUCCCAUCUGAAUGGAAACAUCUUUGAACCAUGAUGCUAAUCCAGAGUCCACAGUGAGAUCUCAAGCAAACUACCCGAGGCUUGGCUUUCCUAAUCAGCUGACCACGCUCAUCUCUGCACUGGACUCAAGUAGAGAGGAGUGAGAGGCUCCUGGGAAAUCGUGAGGAGAUGUGAGAAUUCUCCCUGAAGCUGGUAGACUUUGGAAAGAAACAGAGCAGUGCUGAUGUGCCCAAGCAGGCUCUCAGUUGAGAUUCUGCACUACAUAAAAG